CCUUCCAAAGUGCUGGGAUUACAGGCGUGAGCCACCUGGCCCAGCCUGGAAUGUCGCAUCUUCCGCCGUUAAAUGAAACGAUGGACCCUGAGCAGAAAGAGGAACAAGGAACAGUGAACAGUGGCGGAAGAACCAGCAAAACCCAGAGCCUCGAGCUUGGUGGACAGACCAGACCAGCUCUCUGCAUGUGUUGUCCAGUUCUCACCACUGGAGGAGAGUCCCAGACCGUGGAGUUUCACAGGGUGGGAAACUGAGGCGGUCUCCUGGAUCAGGGCCUUCCGGAGACAGGAUCCCUGUUGCAGUUUACCUGACGCUCCCCAUCCCCGCUGUGCAGCAGGAACCAAGGAGGCCCCUGGAAGAGCCCUGAGCUGGGAGUCGGACACCCGGGUUCUGGGCCCGGCUCAGCCCUGUGCCUGUCAUGUGACCGCUCUGUACCCCAUUUCCUGUCAAAAAAGAGAGGGGUGUGCGAUGUGAGAUGUGUGGCCCAUCAGGGGCUCUGAGGCUGCUUGCUUUCCUGUGUGGACAAGAAGUCUGGGGACAGGAGGCCGUCAGGCGGCCCAGCAAAUCCCCCAGGUGUCUUGCCUGACGCCCAGGGGUUCAGUUUUCGGUGAUGAGUAAGACGUGCUCAGUGCCUCCGUGUGUCGUGUGUGAGACCUGAGACCAGAUGCCUGCUCCUCCCUCUGUUCCCGAGGGCAUAGCCCCAGGCCCGUCUGUGACCCUCCACUGGGCCCAAGAAGAACCUUUCCCCAGGCCUCAGUCCCCUGUGGCCUCCCGGAGCCGCACAGAGUGGGGAGGGUCUGCUCUCCAUCUGGCCAUUGUGGGCCCCA